ensembl:lncRNA LINC01116 long intergenic non-protein coding RNA 1116
GCCCGCAUGGGGCCGAGGUUCCUGGCCGACGCGCGAGGGCGCGGGCGGGUACCGGGUUCCCGUUUUUCCCAGGCCCCGAUCCCCGCCCACGCACGAGGCCCCCGGCCCACGCACGAGGCGCCCACGCCCAUCGUGGAGGCUCCGCCUGGAAAAGAAGUCCGACUUCCUCUCCAAGCUGCUCCGAGGGGAAUGGGGAAUCGGCAGGAAAUGACCCGAACUGCCAGCCUGCGCCUUUGCAGCCGGCCCUCGCUUUGCUGAAGACGAGCAGCUCCCACCAAAGUCUUGCCUCCCCUUACCCCGAAAGCCCCGCUCAGUUCAAUAUUUCAAGUGAAAAUCUGCCUGUUCGAAAAGAAAAUAUUCACAAAUGAGCAGUGUAUUAGAAGACAACUGAAUUGCUUCUAAGAAUGGGUCUCACUCUGCCAUCACCCAGGCUGGAGUGUGGUGGCACCAUCAUGGCUCACUGCAGCCUUGAACUCCUGAGCUCAAGUCAUCCUCCCACCUCAGCCUUCCGAGUAGCUGGAACUGCAGCUCUCACCAUGUGACGUGCCUGCUUCCACUUCUCCUUCUACCAUGAUUGGAAGAUUCCUGAGGCCUUCACCAGAAGCCUAGCAGAUGCUGGUGCCAUGCUUGUACAGCCUGCAGAAACAUGAGCCAAUUAAAGCCCUUUCGUUUAUAAAUUACCCAGCAUCAGCCAACAUGUCCAUUUCCACCCUCCACCCUCAUUCUCACAUUAAGCUAUGGAGAGGGGGAAUAUUUGUACUUUUUUCAUGGUCUUCCAAAGGAUGGACAUACUACUGCCACGAGAGAAAUUGCUGGUCAGAGAGAAGCAAUUCCUUAGAGAAAGCAACCCACAUAUCAUCACCCAAGAGAGCUGAACCAUUGCCAACAUCUCCAUCAGGAACUUGGAAGAGUUUUCUGUCUUCCCAACACAAUAAAACUGGAGACACGAGCAUGCAGAGCUCCAGCCAGCACAAUUACAUAAAGCCAAAGCACAUUAUCACUUGCAGGCUGCAGGAUUUAUGGCCAACUAUGAUGGAAAAUACAGAGAUACUUUACUUGUCUGAAUUCAACACUCAAAAAAGAUAGUAUGUAUUAUAUUAAUGAUAGAGAAAAGUUGUAUAUAUUGUACUUUUUCUAAUGAAAACCUUAGUAAACAGAGCAGAAACAGAUGCCAGCAUCUUAGAGAAGAAAGAAAAAUGGAAAAGAUUGCCAGUUUGCUCCUCUUCAGACAAUAUGCAAUUGCUGUUCUUGUUGAAAAAUUCCUUUCAAAUGCAUUGAGGCAGCAUUUCUAUUUUGGUGGUUUUCUGCAUUUGAGUUGCUGCUUCUAACUUGAGUGGAACAGAGAAGUUUGUAUUCUCUAUGGGUGUCUGCUGUUCCAAGUAUGAAGCAGUGAAGCUAAAAUCACUUUACUUCUAGAAACCUGUGAUUUCCAUUUGCCAUGAGGUUAGCACUUCCUCUGGCAGUGCCUUUGCCACGAACUGUCAUAGAACCAUGCUGUUUAUCUAGCAUAGCAUUCUUCUUUAUCAUAGCUGCUUACCACUUGUUUCUGCUCUGGAAUGCACCCUGUACGUGCAGGUUAUGUGGUGUCCUGGCCCAGUGCUGGCACACGGUGAGCACUCACAAAAAUAUUGAAGAGCUCUCUUCAGGUUGUAAUUUUAUGUUACCAAUGUUUUUACACAGUUGGUUUGCAUUAUGAGUACACAGUGAGAAGGUAAACCAGUGUGCUGUUUGUCUAUCGUUUCCAAAUUUUGAAUUAUUUAAAUACAUGUUAGUGAAAUCACUGUUUAUCAGAACCAAAAUUGCAAUCUUAAAACUUCUGCAAGAUAGAAAAGAUUGUUUAACAAAGGAAGGAAAAUAUUACAAAAACAGAUUUCUCUCUUAAUUUUGUCAGUGCUUGGACUUGGUCCCCAAAUCUUAAAAGUGAAUUUGUUUCCAGAACACCUGAAACAGAGACCACAUUUUUAUGUUUGCCUUUUUGCAGUGAAGUUUACAUUAGGGAGCUAUAUUUUCCUUAUAUUUAUUUUUAAAUCAUUUGGGCUUUCCAAUAAAAUAGCAUUCUCAUUUUCUUCCCUCUUCCCAGAUUAAUGCAUUUAUUAUUUUAAUGCAUGAAGGGGUCCACGUGGCGCUAUGGUUGGUGGCUGGGAUGCUCUGGAGUGGUGCGCUUGGAAAACAAUGUGUUAUUUGCACUUGAGAAAAUACUUUGUUGGCUAAGUGUCUAGGCACUGAAACAGUAACAGUUCAUCAAAAGACAGUUAUCCCAGAUACGCUUCCAAGAGUGGCAAUCAGUUUUCCUAAAGAGUCAAAGAAAAGAGUGAGAAUUGUGGGAAGUGGGAGACUAGAAGGACAGACUCAUUUGGAAACAGGAAGUGGUUCAAGGAACUUAGGAUUUGGAAUAUAGGAAAAGAAAUGGGGAAACAUACCCAUGCCUUCUCUUCUCUGUAGACAUCCAAUUUGAACCUACUCCAGAUUAGUAGGAAGUAAAAUCAUUAUCUGAUGUUCUGUGGCCACAUGGAAAAUACAUUGGUAGUUGCAACCAGACUAGAGUCAACAUUGAGAAACCAAUAGAACCACUAACUUGGGCUGGUGAGGCACAGCUACUGGUCAAAACCUGCCCAGGAGGCCCAGUACCACUCACAGUCAGGAUCGGGGUCAUGGUAGGGGAAGGUCAGCUAGCUUACUGCAGCCCAUCUCUGAUGGGGAGGUGAGGACUUCCAGCCCUGGGCUGCUCAUUCACCUCCCCUCUGGAGCAGUAAACAGGGAAGUAGCAAGAAGCUAAGCUCCUUUUGUUAGGCAUUGUUAAUUCCUCCAAGGUGACCAUUGAUGUAUUUUUUAUUCAGUAACUUAGCAUAUAUGUGUGUGCACAAUUAAUAGUUAUAUAUAAUAAAAGUGAAUAUAUUAAAAUUUAAAAAAAUAAAUUAUGAUCAUUGCACAAUUCUGUGACUAUACUACAAACCAUUAAAAUGUAUACUUUAAAUGGGUGUUUUUUAUGUUAUUUAUGUGAUUAUGUCUCAAUAAAGAUGUUUUAAAACCAUAAA